AUGCUCCAGAUUUCUGUGCAGGAAUUUAGAGCCAUGUAGUAGCUCUAAUGUUUUAUCGAUGUUCUACAAUGCAUCUGUGUACUUCAGUUUUGUAUAAAAAGGGCAGGGAGGAAGCAUCAGAGAAGACUUCUUCACUAAAAAGAAGAGUUUGAUGUCAGACUUUUUAUUCUUGUGAUUAAAUUUUGUAUUACAGUCUGCGCCUUCCUGCUUAAGAAUCUGAAAACAUAUUUUCUGGUUUAUAUUGAAACACAGGAAUCUUGAAUAUCUCUUCAGCUGAUUCCUAAUGUUUGUUCCACAGGAAGGGAGUUAGUUCGUAGCAUAGUGUGCUUUGUUGUAUCUGCAUCAGCAAAGCAGAUAAGCUCAGCCUCUCUUCAUCUGAAAAGGGAACAGAGGAGUAGCACCAGGAGACAGUGGAAUACUUCAGGACAUUGUGAAGAUUUCAAGCAACAAGACAACUUCCAGAAAUCACCUGGAACAAGGGUCAUCCCAAAACAAAAGCAAUUCAAGCAGCCUGUCUGAGAGGAAGAUGAGGAAGGAAGGAAGGAAGGAAGAAGGAAGGAGACUUAUUUCAUCUUCUGUACUGCGGAUCAUUUUGACAUCAUCCCGGAUUAUGCAAUAUAC
rnacentral:lncRNA from 1 species